AUAACAACAGGAAGCGUUGAACCGUCACCUGUAAUGUGGUCACUUGGGUGACGGGGAGCCCCUAGUGAAACCGGCCUGAUAUUUU
rnacentral:ncRNA from 2 species